GACAGAGGGUGCAAACGUUGUUCGGAAUUACUGGGCGUAAAGCGCGUGGUAGGCUGUCUCGAAAGUCGGAUGUGAAAGCCCUGGGCUCAACCUAGGAAGUGCAUUCGAACUUCGAGACUCGAGUCCUGGAGAGGAUCGCGGAAUUCUCGGUGUAGAGGUGAAAUUCGUAGAUAUCGAGAGGAACACCGGUGGCGAAGGCGGCGAUCUGGACAGUGACUGACGCUGAGACGCGAAAGCGUGGGGAGCAAACAGG
rnacentral:rRNA from 1 species